CACAAGGUGGCAGCAAAGAAGAGAAAAAUAAUUGAUUCGAUUUUGGAAAAUUUAUUUUGACAAUUAACUAAUUACCUGUUUAAAAAUAGUAACUUUUCAAAUUAAAUUGAUACAAUUGUGAAUUUGUAAGACCUCCUGGAUCAUCAAUUAAAAGGCUGGUCAUUUUUAAUGAUUUAAUUGCUGUUCUCUUCAAGUUGACUGAUGGUUACCGAUAUUUUUGCUAAAUAUCAAUGAAAUUGGAACCACAAAUAAGUAAACAACAAAGUGAAAGUAUAAAAGGAAAACGUUUAUAGAUUUGAGUGGGAAUUGUUUUUAUCUGGGAAAUCAAAUUUUCCCAAUCUAAUUGAUUGUCAAAUCAUUGGUGGAUCAACAAUAUAAAAGUGUAACUCUUGGUGUAAAUUGUCGUGGGUUUUAUCUUGGACUCUCCAUGACCAUGGGAUGGACCAUUUUUGUUACCAGGUUAUGGUCAAUGAUUUGCCGAGAAAAAAAAACAAUAACAAAAUCAUUUCAUUUUUUUGGGUCAAGACAACAAUCUAAUUUGAUUUUAAUCAAUCGGAUCAACGGUUGACUGUAACCAACGAAUACAAUAUGGCUUCCGGUUACAUCUUUCUGCUCUUUCUAUACAAACUCUAUAUGGAAACUACGAGAAAUUAAUAUUGAAAAUCAUUCCUGUUCUGAUGUGAUAUUACCUGAGGUUUCAAAUGUGGACAAAUGAUUCCUUUGGAUUAACUCAAGGAUGAAUCAAUUAACCGGUCAUGCUAAAGCCCAUGUUAAUCAAACAAGACUCUCAAUCAUCAAUAUAACACCAUCAUUAAUCUGAUACAAACUAAAGACUGGUUUUUUUUAUUAAUGAUGAUGAUAAGCUAACUCAUAAUGAAAUUACUGAUUCGAAUUGGAAGAUUCAAGAAUCCAGAAACGAAGAAAAUUAUUCUGGACAAUCAGACGACCUGUUAACUUUUCUCUCUCUCUUAAAGUGAUUGAUCUAUCUAAUUAAGAGUCAGUUUCAGUUUUAUUUGCUAAUUCUUGAAACUGUAACUAUGUCUUACCUGUUGGAAAGUUACUCGAAAUUAAGAAGAAGAGUGAAAAGUGAUUAAAAAUUAUUCCAAGGCUUCCAAAGCCUGAAUUAAUUUAUCACAAUUGGGAUCAACAACAUCUCUCCAAAUGUUACAAUUAAAUGGCAUCCAUACACUAAAUACACAUUCAAAGUACAUUAAUAAUCUAUCAACCAUCAAUCCAGCCGAAAAAAAGAUGCUAGAAAUUAAUGGGAAAGAUAAUCGAAAACCAAUCGAAAGUAAUCAAUCAAUGGAUCAGCUACUAAUUACCAAGGGAAUAAUCAGUAAAACUUAAUCGAUUACUUGUUUUCGGGCUGAUUGUUGCCGUGAAUUGUUGAUUAAACCAUAAAGUUUACUAAUUGGGGAAUAGACGAUUGACAUUGAAAAGGAAAUCCUGAAAAUCGAGAGAGAGAGAGAGAGCCUGAACAAAAUCACCAAGGCUAAUUUUACAUAAUUGGUUAAUCGAUGAUUAGAAAUGGUUCUUUAUUUGAAUUGUCUUUAUUUGGAAUCGAAAAAACAACGGGUCGGAUUACUUUAAAUUUCUCUCUCUCUCUCUCGUUAUCGAACUACAAUAACAACUACCUGCGAAUCAUCAAGUGUUAGAUCACCUUGAUAAAGUGAAAGCGGAGAAGGCGAAGAAGAAAAAGAAAGAGAAAAAAGAAAGUGACGAAAAAAAAACUUGGAAAAUCAAGAGAAAACUUGAAUUAACGAUAAUCCUUGUUUAUCAAUUGGAAGUGUAAUUGGAGCAGAAUAUUUAUCCAUCAACUUGUCACAGAUUAAGAAUUAAUCUAAGGCAUAUCACGCGUUACCGUUGUUUGUUUGUUCGUUGAUGGUACAGGUAAUAAAAACGAACUCACCUUUUCCGGUCAAAUUCUUUUCGUUUUUUCCAUUUUCAUUGGAUUCGAAUUUGUUUUUCUUCUUCUUCUUGAUCUUCUUGAUCAUCUUUUAUCUCUAAUCUUAAUUCACAACCUCUCAGAGCAACAAUUAACUCUGAUAAUCUUUUAAACAUUUCGAUGAUCAUAACACACUCACAGCUUAAGGACAAACUCAUCUUCAUCAGUUGUGACCAAUUAACGCGAGUAAAAAAGUCGAAGCGCAAACUAUUCAAUUGAUGUUCGUAAAAGGUUCAAGCUUAAUGUUAUUUACCAGCCUCAGGGUAAUAACUUUCCAAGGAUUCACUGUAAUCGAUUGAAAUUAAAUCUUGGUGAACCAUUUAGACGUUACCAUGAUUAUUGUGCACAAUUAACUAAUUUUUUUUUUACUUAAAUUGCUCUUGUUGACACGUUUUCCCUUAAUUGAAAGUUGUAUUCUCAAUUAUUAUCAUGUAUUAACUUUGGUUUUACCACAGGUAACAAACUAUUUCAUUUUAAUUGUUAAUCAGUCAAGUAUCAUCAUUAGUACUUUACUUUAAUUAAGGCUAAUCAAUGAUGAUUAAGAUGAUAUACAAUCAUUAACUAUUUUAAUCCUCUCAUUUUAAAGUCACACUUUCAAGUGAUUAACUUUUUUUUCUUGAUUUGCUUCUUGAUUUUCAUUGAUAUUUCAUGAUCAAUAUUAUUACAACUAAUUAACUUGA